rnacentral:rRNA from 1 species
UACGGAGGGUGCAAGCGUUAUCCGGAUUUACUGGGUUUAAAGGGUGUGUAGGCGGGCUUUUAAGUCAGUGGUGAAAUCUCCGGGCUCAACCCGGAAACUGCCAUUGAUACUAUUAGUCUUGAAUUUUGUUGAGGUAGGCGGAAUAAGUCAUGUAGCGGUGAAAUGCAUAGAUAUGACUUAGAACACCAAUUGCGAAGGCAGCUUAGCUAAACAAAUAUUGACGCUGAGGCACGAAAGCGUGGGGAUCAAACAGG